rnacentral:rRNA from 1 species
UACGAAGGGGGCUAGCGUUGUUCGGAAUUACUGGGCGUAAAGCGCGCGCAGGCGGCCUUGCAAGUCAGUGGUGAAAUCCCAGAGCUUAACUCCGGAAUUGCCUUUGAGACUGCUUGGCUUCGAGUACGGGAGAGGUGAGUGGAAUUCCCAGUGUAGAGGUGAAAUUCGUAGAUAUUGGGAAGAACACCGGUGGCGAAGGCGGCUCACUGGCCCGUUACUGACGCUGAGGCACGAAAGCGUGGGGAGCAAACGGG